rnacentral:rRNA from 1 species
GACGAACGCUGGCGGCGUGCCUAAUACAUGCAAGUAGAACGCACAGUUUAUACCGUAGCUUGCUACACCAUAGACUGUGAGUUGCGAACGGGUGAGUAACGCGUAGGUAACCUGCCUGGUAGCGGGGGAUAACUAUUGGAAACGAUAGCUAAUACCGCAUAAUAUUAAUUAUUGCAUGAUAAUUAAUUGAAAGGUGCAAUUGCACCACUACCAGAUGGACCUGCGUUGUAUUAGCUAGUAGGUGAGGUAACGGCUCACCUAGGCGACGAUACAUAGCCGACCUGAGAGGGUGAUCGGCCACACUGGGACUGAGACACGGCCCAGACUCCUACGGGAGGCAGCAGUAGGGAAUCUUCGGCAAUGGACGAAAGUCUGACCGAGCAACGCCGCGUGAGUGAAGAAGGUUUUCGGAUCGUAAAGCUCUGUUGUAAGAGAAGAACGGGUGUGAGAGUGGAAAGUUCACACUGUGACGGUAUCUUACCAGAAAGGGACGGCUAGCUACGUG